CAGUCGCCGCGGGAAAACGAAGGGGGCUAGCGUUGCUCGGAAUGACUGGGCGUAAAGGGCGCGUAGGCGGCGGCCAAAGUCAGGCGUGAAAUUCCUGGGCUCAACCUUGGGGCUGCGCUUGAUACUUGGUUGCUUGAGUGGGGAAGAGGGUCGUGGAAUUCCCAGUGUAGAGGUGAAAUUCGUAGAUAUUGGGAAGAACACCGGUGGCGAAGGCGGCGACCUGGUCCUUGACUGACGCUGAGGCGCGAAAGCGUGGGGAGCGAACAGGAUUAGAUACCCGUGUAGUCCCUGUCUCUUAUAC
rnacentral:rRNA from 1 species